GACGAACGCUGGCGGCGUGCUUAACACAUGCAAGUCGAACGGAAAGGCCCUGCUUUUGUGGGGUGCUCGAGUGGCGAACGGGUGAGUAACACGUGAGUAACCUGCCCUUGACUUUGGGAUAACUUCAGGAAACUGGGGCUAAUACCGGAUAGGAGCUCCUGCUGCAUGGUGGGGGUUGGAAAGUUUCGGCGGUUGGGGAUGGACUCGCGGCUUAUCAGCUUGUUGGUGGGGUAGUGGCUUACCAAGGCUUUGACGGGUAGCCGGCCUGAGAGGGUGACCGGCCCCAUUGGACCUGAGAUAAGGCACAGACUCCUACGGGAGGCAGCAGUGGGGAAUAUUGCACAAUGGGAGGAAGCCUGAUGCAGCAACGCCGCGUGCGGGAUGACGGCCUUCGGGUUGUAAACCGCUUUCGCCUGUGACGAAGCGUGAGUGACGGUAACGGGUAAAGAAGCACCGGCUAACUACGUG
rnacentral:rRNA from 1 species